UGGUGGGAAUGCAAACUGGUGCAACCACUCUGGAAAACAGAAUGGAGUUUCCUCAAAAAGUUAAAAAUAGAACUACCUUAUGAUCCAACAAUUACAUGACUAGGUAUUUAACCAAUGAAUA